CGCCGAAGUCAAGAAUCGGUAGGAUAAUCAGUUUUACGAAGAUCCCCUGGCCAUUAGCCCUUGCAGACCUGUCUACUUGGCAGCCAUGUUUUGGGGGAGGCUGGAAGCCUUGAAACCAGAUUGCCCAAAGUUACCAAGUACAGCAAAGGAUACAGCCUGUCCCUCAACAUCAGCAAAACCAAGGAGCUGAUCGUAGACUACAGGAAACGGGGAGGAGCACGCCCCUAUUGUCAUCAACUGGGCUGCGGGUUCCUCAGUGUCAACCUGACAUGGUCCAAUCCAGUGGCGGUCAGUGCCCUUUAAGAUGAGGGAGGAUGAUUCUUUUUUCCAUGAGCAUGGCCUUAUUUCCAUUACAGCAUAUUGGAUGACUGUCAUUCAUAUUCCAUUCACCCAGUUCAAUGUAACAGUGAUAGAUUUAGGUUACUACAUAAUACUCACAUUUUC